UGAUAACAUAGCAGGGUCCCUUGG
rnacentral:siRNA from 1 species